GGUUAAGCGACUAAGCGUACACGGUGGAUGCCCUGGCAGUCAGAGGCGAUGAAGGGCGUGCUAAUCUGCGAUAAGCGCCGGUAAGGUGAUAUGAACCGUUAUAACCGGCGAUACCCGAAUGGGGAAACCCAGUGUGAUUCGUCACACUAUCAUUAACUGAAUCCAUAGGUUAAUGAGGCGAACCGGGGGAACUGAAACAUCUAAGUACCCCGAGGAAAAGAAAUCAACCGAGAUUCCCCCAGUAGCGGCGAGCGAACGGGGAGGAGCCCAGAGCCUGAAUCAGCAUGUGUGUUAGUGGAAGCGUCUGGAAAGGCGCGCGAUACAGGGUGACAGCCCCGUACACAAAAGCGCAUGUGCUGUGAGCUCGAUGAGUAGGGCGGGACACGUGGUAUCCUGUCUGAAUAUGGGGGGACCAUCCUCCAAGGCUAAAUACUCCUGACUGACCGAUAGUGAACCAGUACCGUGAGGGAAAGGCGAAAAGAACCCCGGCGAGGGGAGUGAAAAAGAACCUGAAACCGUGUACGUACAAGCAGUGGGAGCACCCUUUG
rnacentral:rRNA from 1 species